CUCAGAAGCACGUGCGCCUUACGUAAUUUCCUGUUAUUCUUCGGUUUGCCUCCUCCCAGUGGCGUGGAUUUGCUCCCGACCCGCUUUUGGGGCGUGCCUGCUUCCUCCUCUCUGUUAGAUCUCGCUCUGUCACCCAGGCUGGAGUGAAAUGGCACAAUCUUGGCUCACUGUAACCUCCGCCCCCAGGUUCGACUGAUUCUCGUGCCUCAGCCUCCUCAGUAGCUGGGAUUACAGAUGAGCCCCAGAGAGGCGAAGCCACUUGAGCUCGUGAGUGACAGUCAGAUGUCAAGCCCUGCUCUUUCUAAAGCGUGCUGCCUUCAGAAAAGAAGAGCCAGAAGGAUGGAAAUUACUUCAGAAAGAUGAAUACCAGCUUUGAAGGAAUAAAAGCUGACGAGGAAUUGAAGGAGUUGAGGCACGAGCUUGAACAGGGUUGCAUGUUUGGCCCUUGAUUGUAAAUGCCCAUUGCUGCACCUGUUCCUGUUACUUGGGGAGUUGCAGCAGAAGGAACAGCGGCCUGGGACUCCAGAGAACUGGGUUCCCUCUCAUCCCUCCAGGGCCACCACUUCUUGUGGGCCCUUGGGCAAGUCACUGUACUUUCUGAGUCUCAGUUUCCCCAUUUGCAGAAUGGAAAUAACUACCCCGGUCUACCAACUUAGAAGAAUUGCUUUGAGGAUCUGAUAAGGUGGUGUGGAUGAUGCUGCCUUGGGGGCUUUACAGUCUGGAGCUCAAGGGACCCCUUAAGUUGGGCUUACUUAGUAACUCCAGGGGUGGGCAGAACAGGACUCCAAUGAGGGUUUUUUUCUUUUUCCCUUUUUUUUCUUUUCCUAUCUCUUAACUUUUAUCUUUAUUAUUUUACAAUGCCCUUGUAAGAUGAAACAAGUGAUGCUGAAAUAUCUUUUUCUUUUUUAACCUUUAUUUUAGAAUUGGGGUACAUGUGCAGGUUUGUUACAUAGGUACAGUGUGGGCUGCUGAGGUUUGGGAGUACGAAUGAAUUAGUCACCCCAGUGGUGAGCAUAGUGCCCGAUAAGUGGUUUUUUCAACCCUUACUCCCAUCCCUCUCCAUUCUUGUGUUCCCCAGUGUCUGCUGUUCCCAUUUUUAUGACCAUGUGUACUCAAUGUUUAGCUCCCACUUAGAAGUAAGAACAUGCCCAGCACUUUGGGAGGCCGAGGUGGGUGGAUCAUGAGGUCAAGAGAUCGAGACCAUCUUGGCUAACAAAGUGAAACCCUGUCUCUACUAAAAACAUAAAAAAUUGGCCGGGUGUGGUGGUGGGCACCUGUAGUCCUAGCUACUCGGGAGGCUGAGACAGGAGAAUCGCCUGAACCGGGGAGGUGGAGGUUGCAGUGAGCUGAGAUUGUACCACUGCACUCCAGCCUGGGUGACAGAGUGAGACUCCAUCUCAAAAAAAUAAAAAUAAAAAAAUAAAAAGAAUGUGGUGUAUGA
rnacentral:lncRNA from 1 species